rnacentral:rRNA from 1 species
UGGGGAAUAUUGGACAAUGGGCGCAAGCCUGAUCCAGCCAUGCCGCGUGAGUGACGAAGGCCUUAGGGUUGUAAAGCUCUUUUGGCGGGGACGAUAAUGACGGUACCCGCAGAAUAAGCCCCGGCUAACUUCGUGCCAGCAGCCGCGGUAAUACGAAGGGGGCUAGCGUUGUUCGGAAUUACUGGGCGUAAAGCGCACGUAGGCGGACUUUCAAGUCAGGGGUGAAAUCCCGGGGCUCAACCUCGGAACUGCCUCUGAUACUGUUGGUCUUGAAUCCGGUAGAGGUGGGUGGAAUUCCUAGUGUAGAGGUGAAAUUCGCAGAUAUUAGGAAGAACACCGGUGGCGAAGGCGGCCCACUGGACCGGUAUUGACGCUGAGGUGCGAAAGCGUGGGGAGCAAACAGGAUUAGAUACCCCUGUAGUCCCUGAGCGGGC